rnacentral:lncRNA from 1 species
UUUUUUUUUUUUUUUUUUUUUUUUUUUGUCUUUUGAGGGCCAUACCUACGGCAUAGGGAGGUUCCCAGGCUAGGGGUUGCAUCAGAGCUACAGCUGCCAGCCUACACCCCAAGCAGAGUAAAGAGGGAUCCAAGCUGCAUCUGCAACCUACACCACAGCUCACAGCAACACCAGAUCCUUAACCCACUGAGCAAGGUCAGGAAUCGAACCCGCAUCCUCAUAGAUACUAGCUGGGUUCAUUAACUGCUGAGCCACUACGGGAACUCCUUGAGAUAAAUUCUAGUACCUGCAUUCUAUAGGAUGGUCUAUAGCCAUUUAGAAAGCUGAUCCAGGACAACAUCCAACUCUAUGGAAAGCUGUUCACAAUAUGUUGGAUAUUUUUAAAAAGCAAAGAGAUUAUAAAGAAUUGUAAGAAGAGUGUGAUGCCAUUUCGACAGUGCAAAAGAUCCUUUUUCAAAAGGAAAUAAUACAUUUUCAGUGUUUAAUUUUUAUCAUUCUUAUUUCUUGUUUGUAUUUUAUUAAUGUUUCUCUACUGACUGUUUUACCUUUGUAGGAAGAAAAAAAAUCCUAACUUUGUUCCAACAAUAUAAAAUAUGAGGGUAGCAGACAACUCAAAGGGAUUUGGGUGUUGCCAGUAUAAAAAGCCACCGUUUCCACCCCCAGCCCCCUGGCUAUCUCCCAGAUUUCUGCCUUCUGAUCAGCUCAGCACCCUAGACAGUGCCAGGCGUUCACUACAUUCUAACCAGGGGAGGCUCAGGGGCUGGUGGAGAUGCAAUCAGAGGAGGCUCACGACUUCGGUGUUUGUUUCCAACCCACCAAUCCUGGCUGAGCCUACGGAUCCCUCGGUUGAACCUUUUAGGAGAAACCAAGAGGAAGCUCAAGAGGCACCAGGUCUUGAAGGAGUCCCACAUCCUGGACAGUUAGAAACAGAAGCAAAGUGAACACGUGCUCUGGUUUCCCAGGGUCCUGACGGUAGGGCUGCUGCAGCCUCAUCCUUGCCCAGCUGGGCCUCCUAAGGCUCAUCUGUGUGGGGAACCCUGUCGCUCCUAGAGGUGCGGUGUUGACCUGCCCUCAAGGAGACUCCGUUCUCGGGGGAGAGAUGAGUGGUCAGAUGGCCUCUCCGGGUUGGUGCUACAUGAGGGGUAGGUGCAGCACCCCCUGGAAGCACAGAGGAGGGACCUUAAUCCAUGACCGGAGGCCCAGGGAGUGUUCCCAAGGAGGCGGUGCGCAGCAUUGGUAGGAGAGGGAAUUAGGGAGCUGGUCCUUUAUGUAUUCUCACAGAAGGGACAAGGUAAGGUUCCCAGUCUGCAUUCAAGUCAUCUGAAGUAAUUCUGCAGUCACUUGCUGCGUAAGCGGGUCUGGGAGUUCUGAGUCUAGUCGUGAGGUUCUAGACCCCUUAUCAGGUGAUGAGACAAGAGCUAAGAAGAGCCAGGAGACGUGAUAAGCCCGAGGGUGUGGGGGAGGACAACCAGACUCAAAGCCGGCAUCAGGCCUGACCCAGAUCUGGAUCUGGAUCUGAAUGGAGCUUGUGUUUGGCUCUGCACAGCGGUGGGGAAGAGGCAGGGAGCCAGCCGCUGAGGGAAUGACUAAGACGAGAAGUGCAGCUUGGAGAAAGGCCACCAGGGGGAGCUCGAGGUAACUGUUGCUCCUGCCGCUUUCUCCCUUGCGAUUGUGGCUUUAAGGUUCCUCCGCCUUUGGCGCCAGGAGGAGAAAAAUCCGACAGGGUACCCUACCAGGCGUAGAGAGAAGAGAGGGGCCAGGAAAGAGAAGAGCUGUUUGACACUGAAAUAGCAGGGGAAGAAAACAGCAUACACCACUUAAUAAACAAGGCUGGAGAUGAGGGCCAGUGGUUAAUGGGAAAGAGACACAUGGCACCCUGUGACUUCCCCCAGGCUUAGCCACGCACCUCCUCACCCUCUGGAGAACCUGCCUCAAGCCCUGGCCCUCUCUAGCUGGGCCCCCCGCUUCCUGGUGAAGAGUUUCCUUCCUGCCGUAUUUGGCAUCCAUCCACAUACAAGAACCGUACCCAACUGAGAAGCCCCUAUCUACGGUGCCUGCUCUCUCACACGGGCUUGGUUCCAUGUACCCAUGGCCGUUACCGCUAUUGCAAAUGACCUCCUUGGUUUUUUGCUUCUCGAUCUUUGUUUCCCCCCACUUGGUCUUCCAGGGACCUUGUCUCGUUCAUCACCAUCACCUAGUGCUUAGAACAGGGCCUGCCACAUGGUACGGCUUGAUCGAAAAACUGCUGUCGGGGCAGAGAGGUGGGGAAGAAAACAAGCUCCAGAAUCAGACACAUACAAACCCCUGGACUGAGCCUAACUCCCCCGCCUCCCCAGAGGGACUCGUGGGUAGCCACUGAGUCUUGCUUUGUACAAUGGGCUGUAUAAGGUUUGUGGAGCUGCCAAGGGCCUGAUACAGAAUAAGGAUUCUGCAAGGUGGCUUUUAAAUUUUAUUGUGAUGAUAAAGAAUAAAAAGGCGAAUUUUGCUUUUUUCACUAGAGGUGGGACGGAGUAGGAGCUCCCAAUUGCCAGCAAGUGGGCUGAAGAAUUACCUCCUGCACGGGUCAGGAGGGGGAGGCAGAAAGAGGAAGAAUGGAGUGACCAAUUCUAAGAACCUCUAUGCUGCCACACAGAGGGAAGUGAAGCCAGAGCUGUCAGGACUUUGCUCUCGAGGGCAGAUUGAGUAAGAUUUCUUGGGGCAAUCCCUGGGCAAGUACCAGAGCAAAACUGUAUGACCUCCAUGGUUGCUCAGCAGCACCCAUGUCUGGGGAGGAUGCUCAGCUCAGUUCAGCCUCCCCCCACCCCCCCGCUGCCCCCCUGCCAGCCACAGGGCAGUAUCUUUGCAUCUUACUAUGCAGACUACCCUGGAAAAGAAGCCAGCUUGGGCAUCAUCGCUUCCUGUUUCAUUUCUUCCAUUUGAUGUAGAUGAUGAUCUGGAUAUUGCAGUGAGGCCAAGCUUGCACAAAAAAAGGAAAGUUCAGCUCAACAUAAGAACACAUUAUGGAGAAAGGGAGUCAAGAUGCUGUUGGUUCAAGAAUAAAGUGUUAACUAAGAUCGAAGAGAAAAAUGCUCACUGAGAGCUCCAAGAAUGAAGGGGAGGGAGUUCCCGUCUUUCACGUGAAGUGGCGAGAAGCAGAGACAGGACAGGACCAGGGCCAGGAGACCUGGGUUCCAGCAUGGGCUCUGACCUCAACUGUGGCUUUAGGGCAGUGACAUUCCUUCUAUGGGCUUCGGUUUUCUCAAUUAUCACCCACGCUCCUCCCGCUGUCUAUCAUUCAUUCACUGAUUCAUUGAAUCAAAAGUAUUUUUCAAGCCCUCAGGUUGUGCUGGGCACUGCUGAUGUGCUGGGGAUUCAGUAAUGAGCAAAGCUGAUAAAAAUCCCCAUCCUCGUGUUUUCUGCGCACAGCACACAAAAUCAAGAAAACAUGUAUCUGAGAUGGAGAUGAGUAUGAAGGGGGAAAAGGGGUGGGGGAAAGGGGGCAAGGAGCUUCUUCUGAAGGGGGACUUCAGAGGCAAGACCUAAGGAGGUGAGGGAGCGAGUCAGGAGGACAUUGGGACAAAGAGGGUUCCAGACAGAGGGGACAGUGAUGGGAAGGGCUGGUCUGAAUACGAAACCUUCUCACCUCCACUCCUUUCCAUGCCACAAGCUGGCCUGCUGGUGGUGGCAGCCUCCUGAGGGCCUCUCUGCCUCUACCACCGCUUCUCCCAUCCCCCCUCCACUGCAGAGGAGAGGUGACUCUUUAAAAAGGAAGUUGGACUCCAUCACUUCCCUGCUCGGAACCCACCUGGCGCCCCUACCACACUCAGAACAAAUGCCAAAGUCCUCACCAUGGCCCUUCAGUAUCUCCCAAGCCCAGCUCCCUCUCCUCUCUCCCCGGCUCACUCCUUCCCGGCUUCUCUGUAGGGUGCUGUUUCUGGACCACACCAAGCAAGCCGCAACCUCAGGGGCUUUGCCCUAGAUGUCUUUCCUGGUUACCCAUCUGGCUUCCUGACUUCAUGCAGACGUCACCUCCUCGGGAGGACCUCCUUGACCAACAGCCCUCACCUCCUGCCCCUUUACCCUGCUUUGUCUUCAUAACACGUAUCAGUCCCUCCCAUCAUUUUAUAUAUUUAUAAUCAUAGCUAUAAUUGAUCAGAUGUUUACCAUGUGCUACACACUUCUAAAUAUCCAAGAAUUAAUUCACAUUCCCCCAAACUCCUUGAGGAUGUAUCAUUAACUUCAUUUACUGAUAACCUGAGAUACUGAGAGCUUAAGACAUUUGCUCGAGGUCUCCCAACUGGUGUCAGAGAAGAUUCAAACCCUGGAGUUUCCACGAUUGGCUACAACACUCUAGACCAGCACUACCCCAAAGAGCUUGGCAAGGAUGGAAUCUUCUAUGUCCAAAAUAGUAGCCACUGGCCACAUGCGACUGUUGAGAAUUUGAAAUGUAUGUAGUCAAGGAACUGAAAUUUUAUUUCACUUCCAUGACUUUGACUUUAAAUAGCUACAUAUGGCUGCUGACAACCAUAGUGGACAGUAGAGCCCUAAAGCCCCUGAUGUGUUCCUUUGUUAAUGUUUAUCUACCACAUGUGGAGGGAAUUUUUCUGUGCCUCAGUUUCCUUCUAAUGAGUGAAAUACCAUAUAGGGCUCUGGUGAGGAUGAAAUAUAUAUGUGUGUGUGUGUGUGUGUGUAUGCUUGGAACAUAGCCUGGCAGGAAGUAAUUACACAAUGCUUGUUAAUUACCAUCAUCAUCAUCGCCACCUCGCCGUUACUAUUAUCAUCAUACAGCCCCAUAAGCCUAAGGACUUUGUUCUUUGCUCUCUGGCGAAUCCCCCUUACCUUGAACCUUUUGGCAUCUAGUAGGUGCUCGAUAAAUAUUUCUUGAAUGAAUAAGUAAGUGGAUUGAAUUGAAUGUGGGAACUGGAUGAGGAUGAACUGUCACAAACUCAAACUCUUUGGGGCGCUUGGCAGGGAACGUAAAUGAGUGAGGGGUGAUGGUAUAAGAUUAAGGGGGAGGACUGGGGACAAUGGCACUCUGAAGAGACUCUGCCCCAGGUCAGGGUAUGCCAAGUCAUUUUCCAGGGAUGCGGGCAGUGUGGAGGAGCACCCAGCGCUAAAGGACACCCAUAAGCAGCCACUUUGGGGGACUUUAUUACUCUACAGUUACAAGUCCCUGGUUUCCUUUCCAAGAGGUUCAACUCCUGACAUUGCCCAGCCUUGACGGGCAUCCUCUGAGAGUAGAGCAAUCCAGGCAGACGCAGGGCUGAGGGAACCCGUGGCAUAGACGGUGCUGAAUGAAGAUGUACUCGCUCAUGUUCUCACUGAGUGCAGAUCUCCCUGGGGAAACUGCAUGGUGUCUCAGAAAUUACAUGCAAAGAAAAAAAAAAAAAAAAAAAAAAAAGAAAAAGAGAAGGUAAGGAAGGAAGGAAAAAAGAAAGAAAAGAAAAAAUAAAAUGUGAGUGGCUUGAGAAACAGGAACAUCAGUCUGCGAAGUGGCAGCUGAGUUGACAGCAGCAACAGGGAACAGGCUCCCCGCCUCCCCAUACCCUGUGUCUAGAGGGAAGUCUUAUCUUGGACAGGAUUCAUGUUCUGAAGACAGAGACUGCAGGCAGACUUCUGGUGCUCACCUUGGGCCAUGCAUCUGUUUGCUUGAAGAGAUUCACAGGCCAAGCGACCCACAUCAUUCAAACUGCUAUUUCUCUCUCUCCUUGCAGCCACGUGCAGGUGUGCAUCCGCAAGGCACAGUGCCUGUGACGUGAACGUCACACCAGCAGGGACUCCACCGACCUUGGCUCACCUCCGUUUGCCUUCCUCCAACGCCCAGAUGGUUGAGUCCCGCUCUAAGAACCAGUUUCGCUUGUGUGAGUCACAGCGGUGUGACUGUGGGCACCUCUGGGCCAUGAUUAGGGCUACAAGUCCUUCCAGCGAAGAGAUGCGGUGUCAUGCAGUGAUUCUAAAUCAGAAGUAGCUCGUAGGAAUGGAUAGCAGAUGUGGGGCCCACGUGUUUUUUGUUUGUUUGUUCGUUUGUUUUUCAAGUUAGUUGAUGUAUUAGUUUUCAACUGCUACUGUAACAAGUUACCACAAAUUUGGUGACUCAAAACAACACAUGUUCCUUAUCUUACAGUUCUGGAGGUUGAAAAUCCAACACAGGUCUUGCUGCAUGAAAUUGGGGGAUUGCUCCCUCUUGAAGGGUCUGGAGAGAAUCCUUCUCCUCGCUUUCCCAGCUGCUAGAAGCCAGUCACAUUUCCUUGGCCGUGGUCCCCUUCCUUCUUUUUCAAAACCCAUAGGAACUCCAUGAAGAAGGUAAGAUGACAGUCACAUGCCUGAACUCUAAACACACUGGGUUUUAUCUCUCCGUGUCUUUUCCCUAUAAUCACCCCUCCCCAACUGCCACUUUCCUCUUGUGCCUCCCUCUUCCAUUUGAAAGGAUGCUUGUGGUGACAUUGGGUCCUCGCACAUUUUCAGGAUAAUUUCCCUAUUUUAAGGCUAGCCGAUUAUAUAUUCUGCCUAGCACAGCAGACGGCACGUCUUCUCCUUCUUCUUCCUUUUUUGUAACAUGAAAUUUAGCUUUCUAGAUUUUCUCAAACAAAGAUCUGGCAACCCUGUUCCCCAUUCUUACGUUAAAAGACUCCCAUACAAUGCAACGACAACAACGCGCAUGGACUGAGCUGCUGCCGGUUUGCCCUACUCCCCAGCCCUCCUUAUCAUCUUCCUUACUGAUGCCCCGAGUAAGCUGCCGUUUGCCAUUGCACUGGGUCAUU